AAGGCUGUGGCUUAACCAUAGUACGCUUUGGAAACUGUUUAACUUGAGUGCAGAAGGGGAGAGUGGAAUUCCAUGUGUAGCGGUGAAAUGCGUAGAUAUAUGGAGGAACACCGGUGGCGAAAGCGGCUCUCUGGUCUGUAACUGACGCUGAGGCUCGAAAGCGUGGGGAGCGAACAGGAUUAGAUACCCCGGUAGUCCUGGCCGUAAACGAUGGGUACUAGGUGUAGGAGGUAUCGACCCCUUCUGUGCCGGAGUUAACGCAAUAAGUACCCCGCCUGGGGAGUACGACCGCAAGGUUGAAACUCAAAGGAAUUGACGGGGGCCCGCACAAGCGGUGGAGUAUGUGGUUUAAUUCGAAGCAACGCGAAGAACCUUACCAGGUCUUGGACAUCCCUCUGACCGCUCUAGAGAUAGAGCUUUCUUCGG
rnacentral:rRNA from 1 species